rnacentral:rRNA from 1 species
CCUACGGGUGGCAGCAGUCGAGAAUCAUUCACAAUGGGGGAAACCCUGAUGGGGCGACGCCGCGUGGGGGAAUGAAGGUCUGCGGAUUGUAAACCCCUGUCAUGAGGGAGCAAAGUAAAAAGAGAGGACCACAAGAGGAAGAGACGGCGAACUCUGUGCCAGCAGCCGCGGUAAUACAGAGGUCUCAAGCGUUGUUCGGAAUAACUGGGCGUAAAGCGUGCGUAGGCUGUUUCGUAAGUCGUGUGUGAAAGGCGCGGGCUCCCCCCGCGGACGGCACAUGAUACUGCGAGACUAGAGUAAUGGCUGGGGAACCGGACUUCUCGGUGUCGCCGUGACAUGCG